CAGGUGAGGGAGCUAGAAAUAGGUGAGAGAGAUUAAGAGGUACAAACCUCCAGUUGCAAAAUAAGUAAGUCACGGGUAUGAAAUGCACAGUGUAGGGAAUACGGUCAAUAACUAUGUAAUAUUUU